AACAUCGCCUCUUGACUAACCAUAAGAGGUCAAGCCUGCCCAGUGACAUUGUUCAACGGCCGCGGUAUCCUAACCGUGCGAAGGUAGCGUAAUCACUUGUCCUUUAAAUAGGGACUAGUAUGAAUGGCUUCACGAAAGCUAUACUGUCUCCUUUAUUUAAUCAGUAAAACUAAUUCCCCCGUGAAGAAGCGGGGAUACACCUAUAAGACGAGAAGACCCUGUGGAGCUUUAAACACUUUUUAAACAUUUGAAUUUACACUCUUAUUCUAUCUCUACUAAAUCACUCAUUUUGUUUUAAGUUUUAGGUUGGGGUGACCACGGAGAAUAAAUUAACCUCCACGUAGAAAGAACCUUAUUUUCUAAGCAAAAAAUCACAUUUUUAUGCAUCAAAAUAUUUGACCUAAAUUGACCCAAUUUUUUGAUCAACGAACCAAGUUACCCUAGGGAUAACAGCGCAAUCCGCUUUAAGAGCUCCUAUCGACAAGCGGGCUUACGACCUCGAUGUUGGAUCAGGGUAUCCCAGUGGUGCAGCAACUACUAACGGUUCGUUUGUUCAACGAUUAAAACCCUACGUGAUCU
rnacentral:rRNA from 1 species